rnacentral:lncRNA from 1 species
UGGGAAAAUUGAAGAAAAAGUAUGAGAUUUCAAGGGAUUAAGCUAAUAAAGGUAAAAUUUUGUGAUUUUAUCAUGUGAUUUACACUACCCAUGCUUUCUUUUUCAUUUUCCAUGCUUAGAACUCAAGUUUGCAUGAUGAACCCAUGCUAGCCGAAAUUGAGAGGAGAGGUUUUGAGCAUUGAUUUUGCUAGAUUUCAAGCUAAUUAAGUGUUUUUGGUUGUUUGGUAAUGAAAAUCUAGUAAGGAAUCACUUUGUUCUUCACAAACCCACAAGAGGCCGAAUUUUCUAGGGAGGAUAUUGAGGCUGAAAUUGAUGAUAUUUCAUGAUAUUUUGGUGGUAUUUAAUGAUUGGUGAGGCUAGAAAUUUAAUGGGAAAUUUUGGCAUGAAAAUCUAAAUUUUUACCUAAUGUAUAGACAUGUGCGAUUUAUUGUUCGGAUUGAUAAAUUGACUCAUAUUCACAGUCAUUGAGGUAUUUUAAGUAUAAUUGGAGUGUAGAAAGUGAAAGAAAUCGAUUUGGAGUUAAAUUGGAGGUUUUGGCUAAUUACACCGAGAAAAAUGCGAAUUAGGUCGAAUAUCGUAUUUAAAUGGCUAUUCGAACAUUUUGCAUCACAUUUCGAGCAUUCAUAUAGAUUUAUAGAGCCUGAAAUAGUUUAUGAUAAAUUGACAUAAUUUAUUGAAAUUCGUGUCACGUAUGAUGUAUAGGUGGUGAGCCCUCUAACAAGGGUAAAGAGAUUGUUCCCGAAAAUCGAGAAUAGGAGUAUAUCAAAUUCCUAGUAUUGUGAGUAACCUUGCUAUCGUCUUAAUUAUCUAAAGUGGUUUUUAUCCGAUUUUGUGAAUUUCAUGGAAAAUGAAUUAAAUGAUUAAUUUUUUGGUUUUAUAAACUAAAUGUGAUUUAAUGAAAUGAUUUCAUAAAAUUGUUUUAAAAUUGAAUAAUGGCUUUGAAAAUAGAGUAAUUGGAGAUCAUUUGAUGUAUUGUGAAUUUAUGGUUCUAAUUGAUUGGCUUAUGAUAAUAUUGGCAUGAAUGGCUGAAUUUGUAUUUGUGUUGAAAUGUAUAAACUGUUGUUUUCCUUGAUAGGCUGGAUAAUGGUAAAAUUGCCAUGUCAUGCUGUUGCAAAUUUUAUUGUAUGGUGGGUUUAGCUUGCUGCAGUGGGCUAGUUCUUUGGACUAGCCUAUUAGAGGGGCACGGAACCUGGUCAUAUUCUUACCUCGGUUGGAGAGGCGAGUAGGGUAACUCCCGAGGUAUAACUUUUAGAGUUCACUUCACGCCAAACCACCACGUGAGGGCGAACUCAGCCAACGCCAAGGAACGACUAUAUUUUCAAAAUAAAAACAAGAUUUAUGAGUACAUAACUUUUUAAUAGCCUUGGUAGCCUCGUUUUGGAUAGCCCGUGGCCAAGGUAUCCUUGAUAACUGGGUAUGAGAAUGAUUUUGGCACGAGCCAAAGUUUUAAGAAAUUCAUAAGCCAUGUUAAUUACUCGAUUUAUAUGAAUUGUUUUUUAUUUGGUUGAAACAAGUUGAAAGGUGAUGAAUUUCAGUAUGUUAAACUAUUUUAUCUGUCUCCAUUUACUUGACUUUAGAUGGUUUAGAUGGUAUCUGUUUACUCACUGGGGUUUUACAAUCUCACCACCCUCCUUUUCAACCAUUUCAGGCCCGAGGUAGCUUGUGGAUAGCAAAUAUCGUCAAGGAUUAUAGUCGGCUUUACUACUCCAAAAACUAUAGGUUUACUGCCUUUGUGCACUUUUGUUCCUUGUGGGCUCAUGAGUCACUGUAAAGUAAAUUUCAUAUCCCA